rnacentral:lncRNA from 1 species
GCCACUGGAACUGAAGAAACAAGUGCCAGAAACUCAUGCAAAAAAGUAUUCUUGCUUUAUUUCUAGACAGAAUGCACACAAGGAGCACUGAAAAUCUUGAAAUUUGGCAUUGAUUUUCCCAGUUUUGAGAUCAGGCAUGUAGACUGGUCUUCCAAUAAACUGCUGAGCAGCUGGAACUUGAACUUCAUUGAAGCACAUUAUACUCAGUGGCACUGUGACGCUGUGACUGUGGGUUACUCUGACUGCAGCCUUGGCUCUGAGAACUCCUUACACACUGGAAGAUCAGCCCUCAGUGCGGGCCGAUGCAGAAUCGUUGCCUGGACUGUGGUACGUCUUGUCUCCCUCCAUGAGUAGGAGCAUCCAAAAUUUCUUCUUUCCAGCUACUGCCGUAAACAUGGAGGAAGUAUGCAGAAAUAGUUUUAUUUUGUGGGUGAUGUUCUUUCCUCUUUACAACUCCUAGCUGAGCUUUUAUGAAGAGCUCAAGGAAGAUGAAAACUUUGUGCUCACCCUUUCUGACAGAGAUGCACAGAGAAGGACAGGGACUACUAUAACGGAAACAAAUUUGCCAGGCACUUGUCUGGAGAUGGUAAAAAUUUUCUCUCCUUGUACCAUGAGAGAAGAGGCAGCCUCAGGUGGCCAACAGAUCCAGUUGUAGAAACACUGCUCAAUCACAGUACGUCAACAUAAGUGACCCAUUUAUGUGUAAAAUGUGUGCAGAAACCCACCUACAUGUCUAGUUCACUGGUAAGUAUUUUACCUUACACAGAAAAUCUUGUGAUUUUCUUCUGGGACUCUUCAACUCUGUAAGCAUAACUUCUGCUAUAAAGUUUGUGUAGGUGGCCCUGCUACCACCUCAAAUCUUCCUCACACAGCUUAGCCUUACACAAUGCUGGGUCCUUGUAAAGCCUCUCCCUUUAAACCAAGCAAGUAUCAUGGUUCAGCAGAAGAGCAGGGGCGAUGAUGUGUGUAUUCGGCUGUAGACAUAUUGUUGCUUUCAUUAUUGAACCUAUAGGUUUUGUAGGUAGACUGCAUAAAAAUUUUCAUAAAAAUAUGUUUCAAAUUCAUUAUGCAGUGUGGCAAGGAACAUGUACUGAAUAGGGAGAAAAAAAACCACACAGAAGAACUAACAGCACCCUCCAGCAAAAAGCAUUUCAAAUGUUUAAGCCACCAUACUCCAGGAGGCUAGAUUUCAGUUUCUAUUAUUACUCAGUAUGACUAAAUUUAGAAGCAAAAGAAAAAUCUUCCACAGAGGGAAGCUAACACAAAGGGCAUCUUUUUUACCCUCACAGCUAUAUGACCCUAUUU